rnacentral:rRNA from 1 species
GCAAACUUCAAGCUACAAAUGAAGGAGCUAUUCAGGAUGACUGAUCUAGGGCUCUUGAGUUACUACCUUGGGAUUGAGGUACAACAAAAGCCGAAUGCGAUCACAAUAUGCCAGGAGGCAUAUGCAAAGAAGGUACUUGAAAGCUGUGGCAUGAAAGAUUGCAAUCCAAGUCAUGUUUCGAUGAAGCCUCGUCUUAUGCUAAGCAAGAAAAGUGAAGCACCCGCGGUUGAUGCAACGGAGUAUAGAAGUGUGGUCCGAAAGCUGAGGUAUCUCACGAAUACAAGACCGGACUUGACCUAUUCCGUUGGCAUGGUGAGUCGCUUCAUGGAAGCACCCACGAUGGAGCAUUGGGCAGCUGUGGAAAAUAUACUCAGGUACAUCAAAGGGACAACAAACUUCAGUUGUGUCUAUUUGAGAAAGAAGAAGAAGGAGAUGGUGGAGCUACUUGGCUACAGUGAUAGCGACAUGGCAGGAGAUGUGGACGACCAUAAAAGUACCUCGGGCGUGGCAUAUUUCUUGGGA